GCUGAGCACGUAGGUGGGUUUGUAAGUCAGAUGUGAAAGCCUUCUGUUCAACGGAAGAAUUGCAUCUGAAACUACAAGUCUUGAGUGUAGGAGGGGAGAAUGGAACUUCUGGUGGAGCGGUGAAAUGCGUAGAUAUCAGAAGGAACGCCGGCGGCGAAAGCGAUUCUCUGGCCUAUUACUGACACUCAGUGUGCGAAAGCUAGGGGAGCAAACGGGAUUAGAUACCCCGGUAGUCCUAGCCGUAAACGAUGGGCACUAAGUAGAGGGGAUUACCGAUGUUCUCUCUGCCGUAGCUAACGCAUUAAGUGCCCCGCCUGGGGAGUACGGCCGCAAGGCUAAAACUCAAAAGAAUUGACGGGGGCUCGCACAAGCGGUGGAGCAUGUGGCUUAAUUCGAUGCAACGCGAAGAACCUUACCGGGGCUUGACAUGGUAGAAGUAGGAACCCGAAAGGGUAACGAACGGUAUCCAGUCCGUGACUAUCACAGGUGUUGCAUGGCUGUCGUCAGCUCGUGUCGUGAGACGUUGGGUUAAGUCCCCUAACGAGCGAAACCCUUGUUUUUAGUUACCAGCGGGUUAUGCCGGGUACUCUAGAAAGACUGCCGUCGUCAAGACGGAGGAAGGUGGGGAUGACGUCAAGUCAUCAUGGCCCUUAUGCCCCGGGCUGCACACGUGCUACAAUGGUCGGUACAAACGGAAGCGAAGCCGAGAGGUGAAGCGAAUCCAAGC
rnacentral:rRNA from 1 species